rnacentral:rRNA from 1 species
UACGGAGGAUGCGAGCGUUAUCCGGAUUUAUUGGGUUUAAAGGGUGCGUAGGUGGCUUUUUAAGUCAGUGGUGAAAGUUUGUCGCUCAACGAUAAAAUUGCCAUUGAAACUGGAGAGCUUGAGUAUGUUUGAGGUAGGCGGAAUGCGUGGUGUAGCGGUGAAAUGCUUAGAUAUCACGCAGAACUCCGAUUGCGAAGGCAGCUUACUAAACCAUAACUGACACUGAAGCACGAAAGCGUGGGUAUCAAACAGG